rnacentral:lncRNA from 1 species
GGAUAUAGUUGUAUACUUAUAAUUAAUGCUUAGAAAUUAAUUGAACUUUGGUAGAAAUGUUUAGGAAUUUUUGUUGAAAUGCUCAGAAAUUAGUUGAAAUUUAGUACAUUUUGUAUAUUAUAUUUUGUAUGUUACAUUUUUUAUAUUACAUUUUGCAUAGUAUAUUUUGUAUAUUACAUUUUGUAUGUUAUGUUUUUUAUAUUCCAUUUUGCAUAGUAUAUUUUGUAUAUUACAUUUUGUAUGUUACAUUUUUUAUAUUAC